UACUUUGAUCGAAUGCCCCUCAACCCACGUCGCUUGGCAUUUCAACCCUUCUUCCUUUUCCUAUUAAUAGAAGAUGCCUCUGCUUGAGUUUUCUUACCAAUAUUGAAAAAGAGAAACUUUGGUUGUAGCUACAAUAACAUGAUGACAAUAUGCGAAUAAUUACGGUGGUGUGUGGUGGUGAACAACGCGACAAGCGUAAGAGUGUUUAAAGACUUUAUUGCAGUGCACAUGGCGACCUCAAGAAUGGAAAUGGCUUGAAUACUGAGGGAAAAGAAGGUUGUUAAUCGUACAACUAACGGAAAGAAAGUUAUAGGUCUCGCUUCUACUACCAUUGCUAUAGGUUAUCCUAAUAUUAAGAAAGCUCGGUUAGAAAUUGGGGAGCAUGUGGUCGUCAACCUUUCGGACAAGCAUCAAGUUGUAGGUAACAACCAAGUUCAGUCAAAGGAGACCAUCGAAGAGUCCACCCCAACACUGGUUGGCAGAUGGUUGCUUUCUCACCCUACUCUUGUUAAAGGUUAAGAGAAGAGAAAUCAAGACAGAGAAAAGAAAUGAUGUUCAAAAAGAUUCAUGGAAGAAAAUAUGUUUAAUUAUCUCUAUUAACUCAACAAGGCUUAAGCUAUAUCAGAAAAGCUUAAGCCAUUUUAGAGAAGUUUAAUAUUUCAAUCUGCCAAAAAAGGCCUUAAGCAAUUUUAGAAAGGCUUAAGCCAUUUCAAUUUCUUCAGGGUGAAGUAUUUAAAAAAGGCUUAAGCCAUUUCAUUAAGGCUUAAGCCAUUUUAAUUUCUUCAUGGCGAAGUAUUUAUAAAAGGGCUUGAGCCAUUCAGAAAUAGCUUAAGCCAACUUAUGGCAGUAAAUAACCCUUUGUUUUAAAUCAUAACAUAAAAAAGGGGAAAGAAAGGAAGACAUGGUAGCUUUGGAGAAAAUGCCACACCUCAACCAUCUCUCUCUCUAGCCUUGAAGAUCAUCUAAGUUGAAGAUUUUGGUGGUGAUUCCGACGUUUCGGGAAUGGAACGACGACAAUUUCUACUAGAUUCUUCUUCUUCUCUUCUUUUGUUGGUUGGCUCUCACGGAAAUGAGUAGCUAAUCUUUUCUUUUUGGGAUUGGAUGUAACCUCUUGCAGCUUAAUGUAGCUCUUGA